ACGGAAGGCAGCAGCUAAGAAUAUUCCGCAAUGGACGAAAGUCUGACGGAGCGACGCCGCGUGGAUGAUGAAGGUCGGAAGAUUGUAAAAUCCUUUUAAGCAUGAAGAAUAAGCAGGACAGGUAAUGGUUCCGCGGUGACGGUAGUGCUUGAAUAAGCAACGGCUAAUUACGUGCCAGCAGCCGCGGUAAUACGUAAGUUGCGAGCGUUGUUCGGAAUUAUUGGGCGUAAAGGGCAUGUAGGCGGAUAUGCAAGCUUGGUGUGAAAGGCGGGAGCUUAACUCCCGGACUGCGUUGAGAACUGCAUAACUAGAGUGACUGAGGGGCAGGCAGAAUUCCAGGUGUAGGGGUGAAAUCUGUAGAUAUCUGGAAGAAUACCAAUGGCGAAGGCAGCCUGCCAGCAGAUGACUGACGCUGAGGUGCGAAGGUGCGGGGAGCAAACAGGAUUAGAUACCCUGGUA
rnacentral:rRNA from 1 species